UUUAGAGGCACCUAUGACCAAAUGCAUUACUAUUCUUAAGCUCUAGGUUUUUCCUUCUUUUCAUGGAAAAGGGCAGAGAGACCGACACCAGCGACCUUGACGACCUUGAAACGAACACCUGGGAUAUCACCCUUAGCCUUGCCCUUACGACCGAAACCAGAGAGAAGAACCUCGUCGUUCUCAUCGACAAAGUUGAGACAACCGUCAUGGGGGACGAAAGCUGUAACUUUCUUU